GACGAACGCUGGCGGCGUGCUUAACACAUGCAAGUCGAACGGAAAGGCCCUGCUUGCCGGGUACUCGAGUGGCGAACGGGUGAGUAACACGUGGGUGAUCUGCCCUGCACUUCGGGAUAAGCCUGGGAAACUGGGUCUAAUACCGGAUAGGAGCCAUUUUUAGUGUGAUGGUUGGAAAGUUUUUUCGGUGUAGGAUGAGCUCGCGGCCUAUCAGCUUGUUGGUGGGGUAAUGGCCUACCAAGGCGGCGACGGGUAGCCGGCCUGAGAGGGUGGACGGCCACAUUGGGACUGAGAUGCGGCCCAGACUCCUACGGGAGGCAGCAGUGGGGAAUAUUGCACAAUGGGCGCAAGCCUGAUGCAGCGACGCCGCGUGGGGGAUGACGGCCUUCGGGUUGUAAACUCCUUUCGCUAGGGACGAAGCUUUUGUGACGGUACCUAGAUAAGAAGCACCGGCUAACUACGUG
rnacentral:rRNA from 1 species